rnacentral:rRNA from 1 species
CAAAGGUUUGGUCCUAGCCUUCCUAUUGAUUAUUAACAGAAUUACACAUGCAAGUCUCUACACCCCAGUGAGAAUGCCCUCUAAAUCUAUAUGAUGAUUAAAAGGAGCGGGUAUCAAGCACACUAAAUUAGUAGCUCAUAACGCCUUGCUCAACCACACCCCCACGGGAUACAGCAGUGAUAAAAAUUAAGCCAUAAACGAAAGUUUGACUAAGCCAUGUUAACAAAGAGCUGGUAAAUUUCGUGCCAGCCACCGCGGUCAUACGAUUAGCCCGAAUCAAUAGGCAAACGGCGUAAAACGUGUUAAGGAUUAUAUUAUACUAAAGUUAAAAUUUAACAAGGCUGUAAAAAGCUACUGUUAAUAUAAGAUAAACCACGAAAGUGACUUUAUUACUUCCAUCAACACGAUAGCUGAGACCCAAACUGGGAUUAGAUACCCCACUAUGCUCAGCCCUAAACAUAAAU